rnacentral:misc_RNA from 1 species
GAAGCGUGCGGUCGCCGAGAAUUGUGCGCGGGUCGAAUGGUCGGUGCUCGAUUGGAACGAGCCGUCGAUCAAAUUCUAUGAGUCGUUGGGCGCGAUCCCCAUGGAGGAAUGGUCAAUCUUCCGGUUGACGGGUGAUGCGUUGCGAAAGCUCGGCGCAUGAGCGAACCGAUUGUCGCGCUGAUCGUCGCGGUUGCAGAAAACGGCGUCAUCGGCCGCGACGGAAAGCUGCCGUGGCGGAUUCCGGAGGACAUGAAGUGGUUUAAGGCCCGCACCGAAGGGCGACCGAUGAUCAUGGGCCGCAAGACGUGGGAGAGCCUUCCGAGGCGGCCGCUGCCCGGGCGGACGAAUAUCGUGAUCACGCGCGAUGCGUCGUACAAAGCCGAGGGGGCUGUCGUCGUCACGUCGCUUGCCGCCGCGCUGGAUGUUGCCAACGGCGAAGCGCCGGAGGAAAUCAUGGUGAUCGGCGGGGCGGAGAUUUAUAGGGCGACACUGCCGUUCGUGCGGCGCAUUUAUCUCACCAGCGUGCACGGCGAGAUUGAGGGCGAUACACACUUUCCCGCACUCGAUCGCGGCAAUUGGAACGAGACGAUCGUUGGCGUUUAUCCCUCGUCAGAGACAAGGCCCAUCGGCUACAGUUUCAUCAUUCUGGAUAAGAAGUGAUGAGGAAGCGCGCCUAUGUCCGUUCGUGAAAUCGCUAGUGGAU